UACGUAGGGGGCAAGCGUUGUCCGGAAUCAUUGGGCGUAAAGCGCGUGUAGGCGGUUCGGUAAGUCCGCUGUGAAAGUCGGGGGCUCAACCCUCGGAUGCCGGUGGAUACUGUCGGGCUUGAGUACGGAAGAGGCGAGUGGAAUUCCUGGUGUAGCGGUGAAAUGCGCAGAUAUCAGGAGGAACACCUAUUGCGAAGGCAGCUCGCUGGGACGUAACUGACGCUGAGACGCGAAAGCGUGGGGAGCAAACAGG
rnacentral:rRNA from 1 species